GUGCUUGGUCUAGGACUAGAUGGCAGUGUGGAUGUUGUGUAUGACAAGAAGAACGUAUGGGUCGUGUGCGUCGUCAUCGACCACCCAUCAUCGAGGACAGGGCCUCAUGUGGGACCUCGGGAGGAGGGGAGAACAAGGGCGUGCACAACAUUAGAGCCGAUGAAAUUCAUGUGCAUGGACUGCGUCCGGCCUGCCGUGGCCGACCGCUCCAUCCUGCUCCUCUAAAAGUGCAUGAGCAAGGCAAUCCUGCCAUUAUUUUUGGACAUCUGCUAUCAACACAACUACUUAUUUCCCAUAUUGUAACCAGUAACAGGCUAGCGGCUAUGCUAUUUCAUUUCACAAUGUAUAUACGGAGGUACCUUUGGAGUUCAGUGUGUCCAUUACAUGCUUUGUGUGUUGAUAGGGGUCCACAUGGUGGCGGGCGGAGUUCCUUGGGCUCCAUGGAGGCAGCUGAGACCUGGUGUUGCGCUCCUCCCUUUGUCCGCCACCUCGCCAUCUCGGGCGCCGCUGUGGCGAGUGCUCUAACCAGCUCCAGAUCGCUACACUCUACAGAAUAAUUCUUCAACUUAUCAAUCUUGCUACUGGUAUUCAUCCACCACUAGGUCCUUUAUCUGGAUGUGUUAUUAGUUCUUCGCAACUCCCAAUUCCGAUCCGUUCUAGAGGGUAAGUAUUUUUUUAAAUGAAUGAACAGGAAAACUGUGUCUUAGUAAAAAAAAAUCAUGUUUCAUUUGUGUAUGCGACAUUUAAGGACAGUGCCAUCUGGAGAACUUGUUCAUUGGUGCUUUCCAUGAGGUUUAUGGUAAGAUUAUAUAUUUGUUUGUUUGUUGCGACAGAAAUUAUAGAGUUGUUUUCCCUCUAUUGUCUUUAUCUAUUCACUUUGAUACAAUACACAAUUAAAUGAUCGGGGUUUUGAAUACAUAGCAUGGGUUCCUUGUGUUGGAGGCAUUUGACACAAGCCUUUGCUGCUGUAUAGCCAAGCUGGAUUCUUUACAUUCUCAGAAUUACAUUUAUCAUUUUCCCUCUUGGAAGCUAAAAAAGAAUAGUAAAUGUAUUUUGUUCAUAGCUAGGCAUACUUUGUUCUUGGAAGGCAUAGUUUGUUAUUAAAUUCUAAACAGUUUUAUAAAUGGUGACAAAUAAAGGGUUGUUAUUAAUUUCUAGGGAUACUGAAAUUUUUGGCUUGUACUGAAUUGUUUAUGGACCUAUUAAAAUAUCCCCUUGCACUGAAAUUUGAUUUCUACUGACUUUUUUUUAAAGAUACCUAAGACUUCUUGUGCUAAAAUUACCCUGUUACUAAAAUUUGCCUUGCUACUGUUGUACUAAAAUUUAACUAUUUAGUAGGAAGGAAGAGCACAAGAGGGAGCAAAAAAGAACAAGGAGAAAGCGACGCUUAGGAGAAGUUAGCUCAAAAUCCACUUACAUGAUUCGUGGUUUUGCCUAACCACUACUUGAUUCGUGAUAGCAUUGCACCAGACACAUAACAUCCAGUUGUAUAAUUGUAUAAGUAGAGUGUACUUGAUGCCUAUUCAUCUUUAUUCAUCCUUCUGUUUUCAUCUUUGGGUCUAUUUGACUUGUUUCCUGAAUAAAUUAUGGACCCCCUUAGCUGGCAAACGGUCACUGGGAGGGUUUGGAAUUUGCGAAUGAUUUCAGUGCCAUUUUUUAGUUAGAGGGGAUGGCAGUUUCUUCAGAGCGACAGGGCGGUUUCUGUCAGAGAAGGUAAUUUCCGUUUUUAAAACUGUCAUCGUUUGAUCUCG
rnacentral:lncRNA from 1 species